AGCAGCCCGAGAACGCGUGGUGCCGUGUAGCCUUUCUCCCUGCCUCAGCUGCAGCUGCAGACUGAACUGCGGAGUAAAGCAGCUCGUACCUAAGGAACGAUGGGGAGCGUUAUUUUUUAUUUUGCCAUUUUUUGUGUAACUUCGGGUGGAGUCACGUUACGUGGCACGGGCCGCCUCGGGCGGGCGCUCGGCACGGGCCGUGCCUGCCCCCUGGCGGCGCCUGCGGGGCAGCAAAGCCGGGGAGCUCUUCCUGCUGCCCGCCCUGCUCUUCCUGCACAUUGACCCGCGUCCUCCGCCCUUCAGGGACAGAGACUUCCCUGCCGUUCUCGGCCCACCGUGAGCCUCGCUGCCGCGCCGCUGUGCCCUGUCCGCCCUGCCCAGCCUGCUCAGCGCUGGUGACACGCGGUGACACUGCCAUGGACGUGCUCGCAGCUGAGCCGUCACCCUGACACGGCUGCGGGCAGAGCAGCGGCUCUCACCAGACCAUGUCCCUGCACACUUGGACGCACAUCUGCAGCCGGUGAGGUUUCCUGAGAGUUUUGCCCUCCUCUAUAAACUCCCAGCCCUCUGCAGUUGCCUCUGCCCUCUUCAACCUUUUCUUUUGCUUACCUCCCCCCCCCCCCCCCCCCCCCCCCCCCCCCCUUCCUUCUGGAACUUUCAUUCUCCGGUGCCCCAGCGGUUGUUAGCACAGGCCCUGCUCCUCCCGCCGCUCACAGGGCAGUGCGUGUCGGCAAGUGGUGGAUUAAAGCUUUCAUUAACUUCCUGUAUCUUCCUGUCUUUUCCUUAAGUAUUAUCUCAGCCCCUGCAUAUUCUACUCUGAAAAUCCAUGAAAGCAGGGGGAUUCAAGACUCGAGAUAAAUGUGACGGCUGGUUAUAAUCCCCAGUUAAGCAGCCUUCAAUACACUUGCAGUUGUAGUGUGAUAUCAAACCCAGUAAGGAACGGUGUGCUGUGUUAGCCUUUUCAGUACGGAAGGGCUUUUCUCACUGAGGUGCAGCAUUUCGUGUUGUUCCCAGCGGUGUCCGCUCCGUUUCCCGUCGCUGCCGUGCGGGCCGAGCUCUGCCUGCGGACGGGGCGGCCCUGCCGCCCGGGGGGGCGGGGGGAGCCAUCGGCGGCUCGGCCAUCGGCUUCGCGCCCUCCGCUCGCGGGCUCGGUGGGAUCGGCGCUCGCUCGGCCGCCGCCAGGGCUGGGCGAGGGGAGAGGCAAGAUGGCGGACAAGGCGCCCGGCGGCUCGCAGAAACCCGCCGGGAAGGUGCUGCUGGGUGGAUUUCCAGCCCAGGAGCGCAGGUAGCGCAGCAGCUCUGCAAAACCUGGCCCAGAGCUGUGCUCUGGAACAGCGGGCACAGCACGGAGCUGCCUGCGCUCCCGGCAUCGCUCCUGCCCGAGGGUGGAGGGUGAGAUACUUUGGGGGGUGCGCUGGCCGCUGAUGGUUUGAGGAUUGCUCCCUUUCAUUCACUUUCGUUUCAGGUUUUAGGUCAGAAAUAUAUAAAUCCUUCAGGUUUUGGGGUGUGUGUGUGUGUAAGUCAUUCAAAGAGAAAGCCAUGUUAUGGCUCAGGAAUUUCCAGUGCUAUAAAUGAAUCAUUUUUGCCCAUCUUUUUAUUAAGCAAGACCAGGAUUAUUUAGUUUUUUAAAAUUUUAUUUUGUUGCCAAGAAACUGUAGUAAUUAAUGCAGUUGGUAGUGAAAUGUAGUUACUUAAAGUCUUUGCAUGUUUACUCAGUUGUUAUUAGAGUAGGAGCGUUUUAUUUUUGUUUCACUGUUAUGAUCUGUUCCAAAUAUUGUUAAGAAAAGUUUUUUUAAUCUUGCUUUUGGCUUGGAAUGGCAAAUAAGAGCUGGACAGAAAACUUCAGUAGUAAAAUAGAUCUUAAUUUGUGGGCAGUGCCUUUCAGGGAAUAGGACAUUUUGGGAUUUCAAGUAUAAUUAGAAAUAGAAUACUUAAUUAUUGAUGAGUGCAGCUGAUAGCGUGGUACAGAACACCAAGCCAGAUGUGAUUCCUCUCUUUUUGCAGUUACAUUGUAGGCUGUUUGUGUCAUUUGCUAUUUCUGUACUGAUGAUACUCUUUCUUUCAAUAUACAGUAAUAAUUAAUUUAUAGGGAUUGUUUUCUGUCCUAGAUGUCAGUCCUGCAGAGGUGUGUUCAGGCUCUUCCAUCCCAUGGAAGCCACCUAGGGAAUGUAAGGCCAGACUGUUCAUCUGCCAGGGCUGCUGAGGACAGUCUGUGCCUGCACUGCCACCUCUGUGCACUCCCUUCACCCCUCAGCUCCCCGUUCCUCCAGACAUCCACAUCCACUUUGCAUUUUAGAUGACUUGUUCCUUCUUGUCAGUGUUAUUGUAUGUGCCACAGAAAAUAGAGGUAGGACCUGCUUGGAUCCAUGAGAAUGUUUCUGUUGAAAAGUGAAAUAAAAUAA
ensembl:lncRNA